AACGAACGCUGGCGGCAGGCCUAACACAUGCAAGUCGAACGAAGUCUUCGGACUUAGUGGCGCACGGGUGAGUAACGCGUAGGAAUCUACCUCAUAGUCUGGGAUAACAGUUGGAAACGACUGCUAAUACCGGAUGCUCCCUACGGGGGAAAGAAUUUCGCUAUGAGAUGAGCCUGCGUUAGAUUAGGUAGUUGGUGGGGUAAAGGCCUACCAAGCCUACGAUCUAUAGCUGGUCUGAGAGGAUGAUCAGCCACACUGGGACUGAGACACGGCCCAGACUCCUACGGGAGGCAGCAGUGGGGAAUAUUGGGCAAUGGGCGCAAGCCUGACCCAGCCAUGCCGCGUGAGUGAUGACGGCCUUCGGGUUGUAAACCUCUUUUAGUGGGGAAGAAGCGAAAGUGACGGUACCUGCAGAAAAAGCACCGGCUAACUGCGUGCCAGCCGCCGCCGUAA
rnacentral:rRNA from 1 species